rnacentral:rRNA from 1 species
AAAUUGAAGAGUUUGAUCAUGGCUCAGAUUGAACGCUGGCGGCAGGCCUAACACAUGCAAGUCGAACGGUAACAGGAAGCAGCUUGCUGCUUCGCUGACGAGUGGCGGACGGGUGAGUAAUGUCUGGGAAACUGCCUGAUGGAGGGGGAUAACUACUGGAAACGGUGGCUAAUACCGCAUAACGUCGCAAGACCAAAGAGGGGGACCUUCGGGCCUCUUGCCAUCAGAUGUGCCCAGAUGGGAUUAGCUUGUUGGUGAGGUAACGGCUCACCAAGGCGACGAUCCCUAGCUGGUCUGAGAGGAUGACCAGCCACACUGGAACUGAGACACGGUCCAGACUCCUACGGGAGGCAGCAGUGGGGAAUAUUGCACAAUGGGCGCAAGCCUGAUGCAGCCAUGCCGCGUGUAUGAAGAAGGCCUUCGGGUUGUAAAGUACUUUCAGCGGGGAGGAAGGUGUUGUGGUUAAUAACCGCAGCAAUUGACGUUACCCGCAGAAGAAGCACCGGCUAACUCCGUGCCAGCAGCCGCGGUAAUACGGAGGGUGCAAGCGUUAAUCGGAAUUACUGGGCGUAAAGCGCACGCAGGCGGUCUGUCAAGUCGGAUGUGAAAUCCCCGGGCUCAACCUGGGAACUGCAUUCGAAACUGGCAGGCUUGAGUCUUGUAGAGGGGGGUAGAAUUCCAGGUGUAGCGGUGAAAUGCGUAGAGAUCUGGAGGAAUACCGGUGGCGAAGGCGGCCCCCUGGACAAAGACUGACGCUCAGGUGCGAAAGCGUGGGGAGCAAACAGGAUUAGAUACCCUGGUAGUCCACGCCGUAAACGAUGUCUACUUGGAGGUUGUGCCCUUGAGGCGUGGCUUCCGGAGCUAACGCGUUAAGUAGACCGCCUGGGGAGUACGGCCGCAAGGUUAAAACUCAAAUGAAUUGACGGGGGCCCGCACAAGCGGUGGAGCAUGUGGUUUAAUUCGAUGCAACGCGAAGAACCUUACCUGGUCUUGACAUCCACAGAACUUUCCAGAGAUGGAUUGGUGCCUUCGGGAACUGUGAGACAGGUGCUGCAUGGCUGUCGUCAGCUCGUGUUGUGAAAUGUUGGGUUAAGUCCCGCAACGAGCGCAACCCUUAUCCUUUGUUGCCAGCGGUUAGGCCGGGAACUCAAAGGAGACUGCCAGUGAUAAACUGGAGGAAGGUGGGGAUGACGUCAAGUCAUCAUGGCCCUUACGACCGGGCUACACACGUGCUACAAUGGCGCAUACAAAGAGAAGCGACCUCGCGAGAGCAAGCGGACCUCAUAAAGUGCGUCGUAGUCCGGAUUGGAGUCUGCAACUCGACUCCAUGAAGUCGGAAUCGCUAGUAAUCGUGGAUCAGAAUGCCACGGUGAAUACGUUCCCGGGCCUUGUACACACCGCCCGUCACACCAUGGGAGUGGGUUGCAAAAGAAGUAGGUAGCUUAACCUUCGGGAGGGCGCUUACCACUUUGUGAUUCAUGACUGGGGUGAAGUCGUAACAAGGUAACCGUAGGGGAACCUGCGGUUGGAUCACCUCCUUACCUUAAAGAAGC